UGGGGAAUAUUGCACAAUGGGCGCAAGCCUGAUGCAGCCAUGCCGCGUGUGUGAAGAAGGCCUUCGGGUUGUAAAGCACUUUCAGCGAGGAGGAAGGGUAGUGUGUUAAUAGCACAUUGCAUUGACGUUACUCGCAGAAGAAGCACCGGCUAACUCCGUGCCAGCAGCCGCGGUAAUACGGAGGGUGCAAGCGUUAAUCGGAAUUACUGGGCGUAAAGCGCACGCAGGCGGUUUGUUAAGUCAGAUGUGAAAUCCCGCGCUUAACG
rnacentral:rRNA from 1 species